AUGCCAAGUGUUAGUGCCGAAUGUUAAGAGGUUAGCCAGUUAGAAGAGUUGGGCUUUUCACAUUAUAUGGAGAAACCAACGUAUAAGUCCUUUGGAAGACAUCAAAUACAAGAACUAUAUGGGAACUGAAACAAGAAAGGUAAGUGUAGUUAGAAGUUAAAACUUUAAUAACCUUAUUACUUCUCUUCUAGCUCUUUGAUUUGCUUUUAUCAAGGAUUCAAUUUCAGGAGCUAUCAUAUCUGCAAUCUCCUCAUCAAUGCCUUUAUCUUUUAUCUAAAUCUAUGUAGUCAAAUAUUGAGCUUUCAGUAAUAAAACAGUACAAAUGCAACUGUUCUUACAGUUCAAUUAGAGCUACUGUGUCUGUAUGGGUAUCUUUACCAUUGCAUGUCAUAUAGCUGUCUAAAGCCACAUAAAUAUGAGCACUGUAUUUCUAGGUACAUUGUAGUACAUAUUAGCCCACAUUUAUAUAGAGAGACCAACAUAUGUAUUAGGUACAUGUCGCCAUGCUACAUAAAGUGACUAGAUAUGUGCUUUCCCCAUCGUUAAGAUUAAUUUUUGUUUAUUCUUAUUUUUGCUCCCCCUGUGUUUCUAUUGAUGCACCAAAUGUUGCUUUAUAGCAUACAUUGCAGUUGGACUGAUAGAUAACAAGGUUGUAGUUUCUUCUGUUAUUUCUUUUUUGACAACUUGGAAUGCAAUUUGCGAAGUGAUCAAAUUAUAUGAUCAUCAUCUCUGUCCAUUUGUUUUAAGAUCCCAAUCAGAAAAGUUAAAGAAACUCUGUACAGCAGAAGAAAAGGAGUUGAAUAUUUAAGCAACACAAUUAUUUUUUUAAAGCUUGUCAGAACUUGUAAGAUUCUAUAACUGUGAGGACUCUUCUCGAUUUGAUUGAAUGAUAGAAAAGGUUAUUUGCUCUUCAUAUAUUCUGUUUCUAUGGUAAACUAUUUUUGUUUUUUGACUGUGAGUGGUUCUGAUAUUUUCGGGCUCGUCUGUGAAUUAAUCCUCUCUAAUUUACAGCAAUGUCGCAGCGGUCACACUUGCAGGCCAGUUUGCUGAAGCAUUUGGGAUCUUGAUAGCUUUUGAACUCGCAUGUUCCAUUUUGUAGUCUAUGCAAAUGAUGCUUGUAUAUGCUUUGCAGUUUGUGCUACAUCUAUAUCAUUAUAAUCAGGAACAACAACUGCUAUCUUUUUAUGUCCUACUUCUUGUGGAAGCAUCAUCUGAACCUUAAAAAUUCUGUGCUAAGAACAUUUAGAUUCAUGGCCUGAUUGGCCAAGCUUUGCUUUUUCCAAAAGUGUUUUUCAAAAAAAGUACUUUUGGUUGGAAGCAGUUUGUGUUUGGUUAAUCAUUUUGAAAAACAAUUGAUGACCCUUGUCUAAUACAAUCAAUGGUACUUUAGUUUUUUUUAAUUAUUUUAAUUUUUUCAUUUCUGCUAAUUCUCACAUAAAAGGUAGGACAUACAAUGAGAUAAAACAUAGAAGAUAGCAUGAGUAAAUAGCAGGAAUGGCUCAUCUCCAAUGAACAAAAAGUUUGAUUAGUUUUGUUCCGUCGUUUUGAUUAGUUUUGUUUCCUUGACCACUAUUUACAUCAAGAUUCAUCUUACUACAAAUGAGCAGUGUUAUUCUUGGUAUCUUACACACAUUCAAAACAACAUAGACUUCCUUAUUCUUGCUUGAUAUGUGUGCACAUUGAUCUAGGAAUAUGCUGGAAGAGGCACUACUUCUCAUUCGCCAGAAAAUUUUGCAGAACAUCCAAUCGCAGUGAUCAUCUCAACUGAUACGGUUGCCGUCAAAAGUUAAGAGUAGAGGUUGAAGGAAGAAUGAUGUUUCAUUGAGAUGGUUCAGCUGCUUAGCUUUCACUUCCAAAGUCGAGAUCUUUAGGCAGGAUAUCCGUUGUAGGCUUGUAGCUGUCCAGAAUGAAGAUUCACUACAAAAAGGCAUGUUUGGGGCAGGGAGUCCAUGACAAUAGCUUGCCAGGUGCGAGGUUCAAAUCCGUGAGCGUAGCGAUGCGGCAACAAUUUUUGAGAAUGUCAGCCAUUAGAAUCGCCUUUGUGAUCCAGUGGUGGCUCAACGGGAGACUAAAAAAGCUUCGGUUUUAGCGCCAAAAUUUUGGGGCCGCUUUGUUCUCCUUUGAUCCCUAUGCGGCUAUACACCUGCAUUAAAAUAGUAUUCUAUGUUGCAUGUUCAAGUCGUUUAGUGUACUUCCCUUGAGGACUGCACUCAGUUGAAGUGUGUGUGUGUCAUAUCAGCCAUCUGCUGUGGCGUAACAAGAUAUUGUUUGUAAUGAUGAAGCUUUGCUCUUGGGUGAGAAUUAGUUUCGAGAAUGAAUUUGAACUUUAUAUUGAAGAAAAUAUAACGGCUUAGCAUUUUCCAUCAGGGUUGGGCAGAUCAAUGACGUCUACUUGCUUUUAU